CAGAUUUGGCUAGCCAUCCUCAACGGGUC
rnacentral:piRNA from 1 species